CAGAAUCUGGGCUUCCCACACACCGUUAAAAAAGUUGAUGCUGCAGCUUAUGACAGUAAUUCAAAGAAAACAUACUUCUUUUCUGGUGACCGUUAUUGGAGGUAUGAUGAUGAAAAGAACUCUAUGGAGCGAGGAAGAAAAAUAACAGCUGACUUCCAUAACAUUCACUCCAAGGUGGAUGCCGCUUUUAUAGAUAAUGGUCGCUUCUAUUUAUUCAGUGGUUCAAAGCAAUAUGAAUUUGAAUCUGCAACCAAGAGAUUUCUGGGCAUAAAGAAGAGCAAUAGCUGGCUGGGUUGCCAGUGAUACGUCAGGAACAAGAGAAAGGAGCGAAGAACUGUGGAAUCCGUUCAUCCUAGCUCUUAAGAACUAGCUGAUAAUGUCAGUUAUGGUCAUUACUUGGUGUAUUCUCUGCUUUUGAGCCAUGAAAACACGAUAAUGGUGUUUUCAUAAGGGAGAUAAUUCAAAACUGAAUUUUAAUUUAAUGUAACUUAUUAUAUAAGAUAUUAUUUGUUAAAAUUUAUGCUAUU